AAGAAACCAACAGGGAUUGCCUUAGUAACGGCGAGUGAAGCGGCAACAGCUCAAAUUUGAAAGCUCCUACCAAGGCGCAUUGUAAUUUGUAGAAGAUGCUUUGGGUCUCGGUCCAGUCUAAGUUCCUUGGAACAGGACGUCAUAGAGGGUGAGAAUCCCGUAUGUGAUUGGUGCCGGUGCCCGUGUAAAGCUCUUUCGACGAGUCGAGUUGUUUGGGAAUGCAGCUCAAAAUGGGUGGUAAAUUUCAUCUAAAGCUAAAUAUUGGCCAGAGACCGAUAGCGCACAAGUAGAGUGAUCGAAAGAUGAAAAGCACUUUGGAAAGAGAGUUAAACAGUACGUGAAAUUGUUGAAAGGGAAGCGCUUGCAAUCAGACUUGCGGGCGGUCGAUCAUCCGAGCUUCUGCCCGGUGCACUCGAUCGUCCUCAGGCCAGCAUCGGUUUCGGUGGUGGGAUAAAGGCUGUGGGAAUGUGGCUCUUCGGAGUGUUAUAGCCCACGGUGCAAUGCCGCCUACCGGGACCGAGGACCGCGCUUCGGCUAGGAUGCUGGCGUAAUGGUUGUAAGCGACCCGUCUUGAAACACGGACCAAGGAGUCUAACAUCUAUGCGAGUGUUUGGGUGUCAAACCCAUACGCGUAAUGAAAGUGAACGGAGGUAAGAGCCCAUUAGGGUGCAUUAUCGACCGAUCCUGAUGUCUUCGGAUGGAUUUGAGUAAGAGCAUAGCUGUUGGGACCCGAAAGAUGGUGAACUAUGCGUGGAUAGGGUGAAGCCAGAGGAAACUCUGGUGGAGGCUCGCAGCGGUUCUGACGUGCAAAUCGAUCGUCAAAUCUGCGUAUAGGGUACGUUAACUCCAUCUCUAUAUAUUUUGAAAACUUGUACUAACUAGGUAAUUAUAGGGCGAAAGACUAAUCGAACCAUUGGAAUAUCUACUAGGUGGUUAAGAUACACAAGAAUAUAGUCCGCUGGCUGACAGCGGGCGACGCUCUCAAAGUGCGGGGACGUCCUGUUAGUUCGCAGCUACCGCAACCGUGCCGAAAGGCCGGUGAGCACCGGCCCGUAAGGGGGUCCGGGGAUGGUAACAACGCUGUCGAUAGGGAUGAUCCGCAGCCAAGUCCUACAGGCGCAAGCCUACGGACGCAGUUCACAGACUAGAUGUGAGUGGGCCUCUCUAGGCUUAAGUUAUAGUCGACCCCCCGCGAGAGCGGGUGGACCUGGUGCUAGUAGCUGGUUCCUGCCGAAGUUUCCCUCAGGAUAGCAGUGUUGUUUUCAGUUUUAUGAGGUAAAGCGAAUGAUUAGAGGCCUUGGGGUUGAAACAACCUUAACCUAUUCUCAAACUUUAAAUAUGUAAGAAGUCCUUGUUGCUUAAUUGAACGUGGACAUUCGAAUGCACCAACACUAGUGGGCCAUUUUUGGUAAGCAGAACUGGCGAUGCGGGAUGAACCGAACGGGGAGUUAAGGUGCCGGAAUCUACGCUCAUCAGACACCACAAAAGGUGUUAGUUCAUCUAGACAGCAGGACGGUGGCCAUGGAAGUCGGAAUCCGCUAAGGAAUGUGUAACAACUCACCUGCCGAAUGAACUAGCCCUGAAAAUGGAUGGCGCUUAAGCGUAGUACCCAUACUCCCCCGCCCGAGUAGAAACGAUGCUCGGGCGAGUAGGCAGGCGUGGGGGUUUGUGACGAAGCCUUGGGAGUGAUCCCGGGUAGA
rnacentral:rRNA from 1 species